rnacentral:rRNA from 1 species
AACGAACGCUGGCGGCGUGCUUAAUACAUGCAAGUCUAACGAGAAAGCCUGAUUUCGGUUGGGCGAGUAAAGUGGCGAACGGGUGAGUAACACGUGGGCAAUCUGCCCUCAGACCUGGGAUAAGCCUUCGAAAGGGGGUCUAAUACCGGAUAACAUCUUCGAGCGGCAUCGCUUGAAGCUCAAAGGCGGGGCAACCUGCCGUCUGGGGAUGAGCCCGCGCUCCAUUAGCUAGUUGGUAGGGUAACGGCUUACCAAGGCUACGAUGGAUAGCCGGCCUGAGAGGGUGAACGGCCACACUGGGACUGAGAUACGGCCCAGACUCCUACGGGUGGCAG